rnacentral:rRNA from 1 species
GACAGAGGUGCCGAGCGUUAGGCGGAAUCACUGGGCUUAAAGCGUGUGUAGGCGGACUUCUAAGUACCUUGUGAAAUCCCACAGCUCAACUGUGGAACUGCUCGGUAUACUGGUUGUCUUGAGCCACUUAGGGGCAGUCGGAACAGACGGUGGAGCGGUGAAAUGCGUAGAUAUCAGGAGGAACACCAAUGGCGAAGGCAGCUCGCUGGGACGUGACUGACGCUGAGACGCGAAAGCGUGGGGAGCAAACAGG